rnacentral:rRNA from 1 species
UACAGAGGUCUCGAGCGUUAGGCGGAAUCACUGGGCUUAAAGCGUGUGUAGGCGGAUCGUUAAGUACCUUGUGAAAUCCCACGGCUUAACCGUGGAACUGCUUGGUAUACUGGCGGUCUUGAGCCAGCUAGGGGCUACCGGAACAAAUGGUGGAGCGGUGAAAUGCGUUGAUAUCAUCAGGAAUACCGGAGGCGAAGGCGGCUCACUGGGGGUUUUCUGACGCUGAGGAACGAAAGCCAGGGGAGCGAACAGG